GGGUAAACCCAACUUUCCCACGCAACGCAUACAGUUAUACGAGCCGCGACAGCCCAUCUGGAAAAAGUUGGAUUGCCGGCGUAAGAAUUUGUCUCCAGUUCACAGAGCGUGUUUUGCCUGCAAGCCCGCUUCCUUGGAAAUCCGCCCUCCGUGCUUUCCCUUCGACCCCUUGCACUGGAUGCUGAGGGCACGCAACGCGAUCCUAGGCAUCCUUACAUCCUAGGAAGCCUCCCCGGGAUUCAAUGGCAUUCCCUCCCUGGCCGCCUCAGCUCGGAUGGAGGGAAAAGAAAUUCAGACGGCGACCCCAGGUGCACUUCCUAGAGAGUAAGCGCCGCUGAACGCCAGAAGGCUUCCUUGCGAGUAAAGAUGCAGGGGAAGGCGCUCGGAGAGAAAUGUUUCCACCUGCUAAGGAACGCUCCCAUUUACUGCUGUUGCAAUCCAUCCUAAAGCAAAAAGGGAUCUUUUUGCACUGGAGUGGGAGAUGGUUGACUCUGUCGCUUGGCAAGCAAAACUGUCGUGCAAAUCACUCGCCAGGACCCCUGCCUCUCAAAGCCACCGACGCGUAGCAAGGAGGGGGCCGAAUGGGCGCUCCUGUUGAGGCUUCCCGACUCCAAAUCGCCCCCCGCCCACCACCCCCUCCUCCCCAGAGAGCAACCCUCUCCCCCCUUUUUUAAUUAAAAAAUAUUUUAUUGAA